rnacentral:sRNA from 1 species
UACCAUAAUGCUUACCUACUGACUGAC